AGUGAACGCUGGCGGUAGGCCUAACACAUGCAGGUCGAACGGCAGCACAGUAAGAGCUUGCUCUUACGGGUGGCGAGUGGCGGACGGGUGAGGAAUACAUCGGAAUCUACUUUUUCGUGGGGGAUAACGUAGGGAAACUUACGCUAAUACCGCAUACGACCUACGGGUGAAAGCAGGGGAUCUUCGGACCUUGCGCGAUUGAAUGAGCCGAUGUCGGAUUAGCUAGUUGGCGGGGUAAAGGCCCACCAAGGCGACGAUCCGUAGCUGGUCUGAGAGGAUGAUCAGCCACACUGGAACUGAGACACGGUCCAGACUCCUACGGGAGGCAGCAGUGGGGAAUAUUGGACAAAGGGCGCAAGCCUGAUCCAGCCAUACCGCGUGGGUGAAGAAGGCCUUCGGGUUGUAAAGCCCUUUUGUUGGGAAAGAAAAGCAGCAGGUUAAUACCCCGCUGUUCUGACGGUACCCAAAGAAUAAGCACCGGCUAACUUCGUG
rnacentral:rRNA from 1 species